GUAAGGACGUGUAAUUGCUACAAGCUAUUUAAACUGAAAGGGACAUUUCUACGUAUUUGUACGAAGAACUGCUAAUCGAAUUGAAUUCAUCGCUACUCGUUUGGUACAAGUGUAAACCAAAGUACGUAAGUUUUACAGUAUUGUAUGUGCUUGUUAGUUUUGUUAGUCAAUGACAUUUGUGUGUUAGUUUUCGCAUGCAUUAAGUAACAUAGUUAAGUAGUUUAUUUUAUUGUCAUGUUUCAGUUCGAACCUACAAUCUACAAUCUACAAUCUACAAUCUACAAUCUACAAUCUACAAUCUAUGCUACAAUCUAUUUACGCUACAAUUUAUCCUACAAAUCUACGACUGCGCCUAACCUACAAGUCCCACAUCGUGUUUAUUCUACAAUUUGCUACCGUAUUGAAUUUCUACUUGGCUACAAUACGUUGCGUGACUUGUACAAAGGCCAUUGAUUUUGUUGAAUAUUAAAUUUGUUAACCAUUGUACGUCGAUUUGCUAUUUGUUGAGUUCGAAUAUUCAUUUGUACCCAUUUCAACCAUUCAACCCCCUGUGACUCUUGUAUUUGGCAACCAGGAGUUACAGGA
rnacentral:lncRNA from 1 species